CGAAUGCUGACAUAAGUAACGAUAAAGCGGGUGAAAAGCCCGCUCGCCGGAAGACCAAGGGUUCCUGUCCAACGUUAAUCGGGGCAGGGUGAGUCGACCCCUAAGGCGAGGCCGAAAGGCGUAGUCGAUGGGAAACAGGUUAAUAUUCCUGUACUUGGUGUUACUGCGAAGGGGGGACGGAGAAGGCUAUGUUGGCCGGGCGACGGUUGUCCCGGUUUAAGCGUGUAGGCUGGUUUUCCAGGCAAAUCCGGAAAAUCAAGGCUGAGGCGUGAUGACGAGGCACUACGGUGCUGAAGCAACAAAUGCCCUGCUUCCAGGAAAAGCCUCUAAGCAUCAGGUAACAUCAAAUCGUACCCCAAACCGACACAGGUGGUCAGGUAGAGAAUACCAAGGCGCUUGAGAGAACUCGGGUGAAGGAACUAGGCAAAAUGGUGCCGUAACUUCGGGAGAAGGCACGCUGAUAUGUAGGUGAAGUCCCUCGCGGAUGGAGCUGAAAUCAGUCGAAGAUACCAGCUGGCUGCAACUGUUUAUUAAAAACACAGCACUGUGCAAACACGAAAGUGGACGUAUACGGUGUGACGCCUGCCCGGUGCCGGAAGGUUAAUUGAUGGGGUCAGCGCAAGCGAAGCUCUUGAUCGAAGCCCCGGUAAACGGCGGCCGUAACUAUAACGGUCCUAAGGUAGCGAAAUUCCUUGUCGGGUAAGUUCCGACCUGCACGAAUGGCGUAAUGAUGGCCAGGCUGUCUCCACCCGAGACUCAGUGAAAUUGAACUCGCUGUGAAGAUGCAGUGUACCCGCGGCAAGACGGAAAGACCCCGUGAACCUUUACUAUAGCUUGACACUGAACAUUGAGCCUUGAUGUGUAGGAUAGGUGGGAGGCUUUGAAGUGUGGACGCCAGUCUGCAUGGAGCCGACCUUGAAAUACCACCCUUUAAUGUUUGAUGUUCUAACGUGGACCCGUAAUCCGGGUUGCGGACAGUGUCUGGUGGGUAGUUUGACUGGGGCGGUCUCCUCCUAAAGAGUAACGGAGGAGCACGAAGGUUGGCUAAUCCUGGUCGGACAUCAGGAGGUUAGUGCAAUGGCAUAAGCCAGCUUGACUGCGAGCGUGACGGCGCGAGCAGGUGCGAAAGCAGGUCAUAGUGAUCCGGUGGUUCUGAAUGGAAGGGCCAUCGCUCAACGGAUAAAAGGUACUCCGGGGAUAACAGGCUGAUACCGCCCAAGAGUUCAUAUCGACGGCGGUGUUUGGCACCUCGAUGUCGGCUCAUCACAUCCUGGGGCUGAAGUAGGUCCCAAGGGUAUGGCUGUUCGCCAUUUAAAGUGGUACGCGAGCUGGGUUUAGAACGUCGUGAGACAGUUCGGUCCCUAUCUGCCGUGGGCGCUGGAGAAUUGAGGGGGGCUGCUCCUAGUACGAGAGGACCGGAGUGGACGCAUCACUGGUGUUCGGGUUGUCAUGCCAAUGGCACUGCCCGGUAGCUAAAUGCGGAAGAGAUAAGUGCUGAAAGCAUCUAAGCACGAAACUUGCCCCGAGAUGAGUUCUCCCUGACUCCUUGAGAGUCCUGAAGGAACGUUGAAGACGACGACGUUGAUAGGCCGGGUGUGUAAGCGCAGCGAUGCGUUGAGCUAACCGGUACUAAUGAACCGUGAGG
rnacentral:rRNA from 1 species